CACUGACCUAUUUUUAGCGAGGGGAUUCCCCUAUAUUGCACCACGCCUUGAAAUGCCUUGUUUUACAAAUCACCCAGCUUUUGGUCUAGAAUCGGUGUUUCAUACUCAUCAGACAUCCGGUUGGUGGAGGUCGACGGUCACCUUCCUGUGGUGCUUGUUCCUGUGGGCCAGAUUGACCUUCAGGAGGGGGAGGACAUCCGGUUGGUGGAGGAGGACGAUGAUCUUCCUGUGGUGCUUGUUCCUGUGGGCCAGAUUGACCUUCAGGUGGGGGAGGACAUCCGGUUGGUGGAGGAGGACGAUGAUCUUCCUGUGGUGCUUGUUCCUGUGGGCCAGAUUGACCUUCAGGAGGGGGAGGACAUCCGGUUGGUGGAGGAGGACGAUGAUCUUCCUGUGGUGCUUGUUCCUGUGGGCCAGAUUGACCUUCAGGUGGGGGAGGGCAUCCGGUUGGAGGAGAGCUACCUCCCCAGAGACAGCACGUGUCAGUUGUGAACCAAGACAUUUCUUCAGAUUUGAGUGUCCGAGUGGAUGAACACUUGCAACAGUAUUCAAACUAUCUCAUGGCAAGCCUCAAAACAGCUAGCCAGAGACAGACAGACAACAACUGAACGAAGCAUGAGAAACGUCCUACGAUGACACUCAAUCAAAUCAGCCAAGUCAUCAAGACAUUCACGAGAUUGGACCAGCGGAGGAACAUUAUUUAACUUAAUCGCCUUCUUGGAAGUUCUGGGCAGCUCUACUGACUCAGGCGUCCAUGUCAUGCAAGCCAUUGGGAAGGAAAACGUCGAGCUAUGUUCGAACUGUCUCAUUUCGGCCUUGAUACAAGCGUGUCACCGACAGACAAACAGCUGAAAACACGAGCAACACCACACGCCAUCGGGAAAAAGAAUCAUGCUGUUAAAAAUAUAAGAAGCUCACCGUGAGUAUCGGUUAGUUCCUGCGUUUAGGAGGUGGCCUUCUUCCUCCAGG